UACGGGGGGAGCAAGCGUUGUUCGGAUUUACUGGGCGUAAAGGGCGCGUAGGCGGCCUGUGCAAGUCAGUUGUGAAACCUCUGGGCUUAACUCAGAGCCUGCAGGCGAAACUGCAAUGCUGGAGGGUGGGAGAGGUGCGUGGAAUUCCCGGUGUAGCGGUGAAAUGCGUAGAUAUCUGCAGGAACACCCGUGGCGAAAGCGGCGCGCUGGACCACAACUGACGCUGAGGAACGAAAGCUAGGGGAGCAAACAGG
rnacentral:rRNA from 1 species